UACGUAGGUGACCAGCGUUGUCCGGAUUUACUGGGCGUAAAGAGCGCGCAGGCGGUCGUUCAAGUCGAGUGUGAAAGCCCCCGGCUCAACUGGGGAGGGUCACUCGAUACUGAUCGACUUGAAGGCAGGAGAGGGAAGCGGAAUUCCCGGUGUAGUGGUGAAAUGCGUAGAUAUCGGGAGGAACACCUGUGGCGAAAGCGGCUCACUGGACCACAACUGACGCUGAGGCGCGAAAGCUAGGGGAGCAAACAGG
rnacentral:rRNA from 1 species